AGUUUUCUGGUUUAGUACUGGAAUUCAUGAGUAAGGCCAUCUUCCCUCAGAAGCCCCUGCAGCAGUGCCUGCUGUUACUUUGCUGUCUCCGCAAACGUGGCUCAGCUAAUGAUGCACAGUGGGUUGCCUAUUCCUUCCUUCCUAGAAAAAAAUUAGAAUCAACAUUGUUGAUUCAGCUGGAUUUUGGUGAAUCAAAAGACCAGAAAAGAAUGUAGCUUUCAAAUAAUUCAACCAUUUCAGAAGAUUCCUGUCAUUGUUGAGUGCAAGUCUCCUGCUCUUUUUCUGGACAUAAAA
rnacentral:lncRNA from 1 species